AGAAAGAAUGCUGGAACUGCUAAUUCCACAACCCCAUAAAUAACAUUAUGGCUUUCUU
rnacentral:tRNA from 1 species